ensembl:lncRNA
GCCAUCACUGUUCUAGGUGCUUUACAAAUAGUAUCUCAAAGGGAAAAAAGUGUGAAAAAUGCCCUAGAGAGUAGAAGGUAAUUCAAAGGGAGACUCACAGAUGCAGAAUAGUUUUGAAGCUAAAAUAUUGAAUUUAUUAUUUUCUUUAAAACAAAAAAAUACCAACAGAGAUUCAUGGUUCAUUUAUAAUCUUCUUCUCAUCUUUAUAUGUGAGAAUAUUUGUUUAUUGACAUUUGUCAAGUUCAUAAUAAGAUUUAUAAACAAUAAUGACCACAGUACAAUAUUAUAGUCAGUGGUUAAAGACAGAGUAUGGAGCUUAGCUUUUGGACUCAAGAGAGGCAGAGUUGACAUUCUGUUGUGAAAGGAAAAACAUUAUAUUCUUGGUUAGAUGGAAAGACAUUUAACAGAGGUGCUUAUAAAUACAGCCAGCCUCUUUUUCUUUUCUCCCCAAGAAAGAAGGUUGAAAUCUCUCCAUUCUUAUACUGUUGAUGAUAUGAAACCCCUAAAUUCUAUAACGGAUAACAUGGAGGAGAAAAUGUCAGCUGGAAAAAUACUUAAGUUAGGUGUUACCAGAUGUCUGCCCCUUUCUAUUAAAGAAGGCUCCUCUAAGCUUCAAGCAAGGCUAGCAGCUUUAGUACUCAUAGAGAAGAUCCUGUACACAUUCCUGUGUGAAUGGAGGGAGAGGGAAGAGAUCGAAUUCAGCAGCCAGAACUCCAACUUGACCUGCAAAACUGGAACACUCGGUUCAUGGAUUAGCCCAUAUAGGUCAGAAGCUCAGUACAGGUAG